rnacentral:misc_RNA from 1 species
CUGGCAACUCAUCCUUUGGAAGUCAGAAUCCUGUAGGAGGUUCAAUAUCUUUGCUCAGUUUGAUGGAUGUUGUCUCUGAGAGAGUUGACAGUUCAAGUCUUGCGAUGGGGGCAUGCGACUAUACCCGAGCUCUGUGCCGACAAUCAUUCCUUGGUCCACUAGUUGGUGGUAGUCCCAGUAUCAAGGAGUUGAAUAAAUGGAUGGAUGAGAGGAUUUCAAACUCUGAAUCUCCUGACAUGGAUUACAGGAAAGGCGAAGUUUUGAGGUUGCUUCUGUCAUUGCUAAAAAUAGCAUGUCAAUAUUAUGGGAAACUCCGUUCUCCUUUUGGUAGUGAGGCUGUGUUGAAGGAAAGUGAUGUUCCAGAAACAGCGGUAGCCAAAUUGUUUGCUUCUGUGAAGAGGAACGGGAUGCAAUUCAAUCAAUAUGGCACUGUUGCCCAGUGCUUGCAGCAAUUGCCUUCUGAAGGACAGAUGCGGACUACGGCUUCUGAGGUUCAAAGUCUUCUAGUAUCUGGAAGAAAGAAAGAAGCAUUACAAUGUGCACAAGAGGGGCAGUUGUGGGGACCAGCUCUUGUUCUUGCUGCACAACUUGGUGAUCAGUUCUAUGUAGAAACGGUGAAGCAAAUGGCACUUCAACAGUUAGUAGCAGGGUCACCUUUGCGGACACUGUGCCUACUAAUUGCUGGUCAACCGGCUGAUGUCUUUUCUGUAGAAUCUACAUCUCAAAGUGGCAUGCCUGGUGUAAAUGCGGUUCAACAGCCUGCACAGUUUGGUGCCAAUAUCAUGCUGGAUGACUGGGAAGAGAAUUUGGCUGUUAUUACUGCAAACAGAACGAAGGAUGACGAACUGGUGCUUAUUCAUCUUGGCGAUUGUUUGUGGAAAGAGAGGAGUGAUAUUGUUGCUGCACACAUUUGCUAUCUGGUGGCCGAAGCAAACUUUGAGCAAUAUUCAGAUACUGCAAGAUUGUGUCUUGUGGGUGCAGAUCACUUGAAAUUCCCACGAACUUAUGCUAGUCCAGAGGCUAUUCAGAGGACAGAGAUUUAUGAAUACUCAAAGGUGCUGGGGAAUUCUCAAUUUAUUCUCCCUCCUUUUCAGCCAUAUAAACUUGUGUACGCACACAUGCUAGCUGAAGUUGGGAGGAUAUCAGACGCAUUAAAGUACUGUCAAGCAUUGUCGAAAUCACUUAAAACUGGCCGAACCCCUGAGACUGAAACACUGAGACAGUUAGUGUCAUCUCUUGAGGAAAGGAUUAAAACUCACCAACAGGGAGGGUUCUCUACAAAUUUGGCUCCUGCGAAAUUGGUUGGUAAAUUACUGAAUCUUUUUGAUAGCACGGCUCAUCGUGUUGUUGGGGGCUUACCACCACCAAUGCCAACAAAUGGCAGUUCCCAAGGGAGUGAACAUCAACAUCAGUUUGCAGGGCCUAGAGUCUCAAGUAGUCAAUCAACCAUGGCAAUGUCAUCACUGAUCCCCUCGUCAUCUGUGGAGCGAAUAAGUGAAUGGGCAGCUGAUAGCGGUAGAAUGACAAUGCACAAUAGAAGUGUUUCAGAGCCUGACAUUGGAAGAACUCCAAGACAGGUUGACUCAUCAAAGGAAGCAAGCUCAAGUAACACAGGAAGCGAUGCAUCAGGAGCUGGCGGGACAUCACGGUUUCGUCGCUUUAGCUUUGGUUCCCAGCUUCUCCAGAAAACUGUUGGAUUAGUGCUCAAACCCCGUCAAGGCCGUCAGGCAAAAUUGGGUGAUUCAAAUAAAUUUUAUUAUGAUGAAAACCUUAAAAGAUGGGUAGAGGAAGGAGCAGCACUUCCUGAUGCGGAACCACCCCUUGCACCCCCACCAACCGCUGCUGCUUUUCAGAAUGGAGCACCAGAUUAUAAUGUGAAGAAUGUAUUAAAAAGUGAAAGUUCUAUAUGCAACAAUGGGUUUCCGGAAAUGAAGAGUCCAACUUCUGCUGCUGAUGGUGCGGGAAUCCCACCUCUUCCGCCUACCUCCAACCAAUUCUCAGCUCGUGGUCGUAUGGGUGUCCGGUCAAGGUACGUUGACACAUUCAACAAAGGUGGUGGUAACCCAACCAAUCUAUUCCAGUCGCCUUCUGUACCUUCCAUAAAGCCUGCUACU